rnacentral:misc_RNA from 1 species
AGCUACAUGACGUUACAAUUCUAAACAUAGUAAUCUCACCGCAUACGAGAAUUGCGCAACCCAAUCCACAUCCAACAGGAACCAUCGCUCGCAGCAACCCGCCGCCACUUCCCAGGUGGCGCCAGUUCCCUCCGCUCACAGCAUCCGAACGCCACCGCUCCCAUUUAUAUUACCAAAACGCCCUUAUACGUUCGAUAUAUUUUCAAUGCAAAGCCCCCUAUUAUUUAAGAGCGUCUAUUGGGCCACGACACUAUCAUUUCCCUCGCGAGUUCACUCUCCUUCGUCUUUACUCACCAGACCCAAAAGGCUCGUCAACGCCAAUAAUAAAAGAAGAAGAGAGAUAAAGGAGAGGCAUUGGAGUAGCAGUGGGAGUAAUUAUAAAAGUGCCAUGCCUUGUUCCUCUAUUAGCACAGUAUCUGGUGGCGGUCUUGGAGGAAGUGGAGAUGAGAAUGGUUCUCUCCGGAGCUUCAAGCUGAACGAAUCCACUUUCUUGGCCUCUCUCAUGCCGAAGAAGGAGAUUGGCGCCGAUCGUUUCAUCGACGCUCACCCCGAGUUUGAUGGCCGUGGCGUCGUCAUCGCCAUCUUUGAUUCUGGAGUUGACCCGGCUGCUGCUGGAUUGCACGUGACCACGGAUGGGAAGCCGAAGAUCCUCGAUGUUAUUGAUUGCACUGGGAGUGGAGAUAUUGACACCUCAAAGGUUGUGAAGGCCGAUGCUGAUGGUUGUAUUCGAGGGGCUUCAGGAGCUCCUCUAGUUGUCAAUUCCUCAUGGAAAAAUCCUUCUGGUGAAUGGCAUGUCGGUUAUAAGUUGGUGUAUGAGCUAUUUACCGAUUCAUUAACUUCUCGUUUGAAGAAAGAAAGAAAAAAGAACUGGGAUGAGAAAAGCCAGGAAGAAAUUGCUAGGGCUGUAAAGCAGCUUGAUGAAUUCAAUCAGAAACACUCCAAUCCAGAUGAUGCAAAUUUGAAGAAGGUUCGAGAAGACCUUCAAAACAGAAUCGAUAUACUACGAAAGCAGGCUGAUAAUUAUGAUGACAAGGGACCUGUCAUAGAUGCUGUUGUGUGGCAUGAUGGAGCAUUGUGGAGGGCUGCUCUUGAUACACAAAGUCUUGAGGAUGACCCGGAUUGUGGAAGGCUUGCUGAUUUCAUACCUCUUACAAAUUAUAGGACCGAAAGGAAAUUUGGUGUGUUUAGCAAGUUGGAUGCAUGCUCAUUUGUCCUUAAUAUAUAUGAUGAGGGAAAUAUCUUAAGUAUCGUAACAGAUAGCUCCCCUCAUGGAACUCACGUUGCUGGUAUUGCUACUGCCUUCCACCCAAAGGAGCCAUUAUUGAAUGGAGUUGCACCUGGAGCACAGUUAAUAUCAUGCAAAAUUGGAGACUCACGUUUAGGUUCAAUGGAGACAGGCACUGGCUUGACAAGGGCUCUGAUUGCUGCUGUGGAGCAUAAAUGUGACCUGAUCAAUAUGAGUUAUGGAGAACCUACAUUACUGCCAGAUUAUGGUCGCUUUGUUGACCUUGUUAAUGAAGUGGUGAAUAAGCACCGUCUUAUAUUUGUGAGUAGUGCUGGUAAUAGUGGUCCAGCGUUAAGCACUGUUGGUGCACCCGGUGGUACAACUUCCAGCAUUAUAGGAAUUGGUGCAUAUGUCUCUCCUGCAAUGGCUGCUGGUGCUCAUUGUGUAGUACAACCUCCUUCUGAAGGACUUGAAUACACUUGGUCCAGCCGAGGACCAACAGCAGAUGGAGAUCUUGGAGUCUGUGUUAGUGCUCCUGGCGGGGCUGUUGCUCCUGUUCCUACAUGGACUCUUCAAAAGCGCAUGCUGAUGAAUGGCACUUCUAUGUCCUCUCCAUCUGCCUGUGGUGGAAUCGCAUUACUCAUUAGUGCAAUGAAGGCUGAGGGCAUUCCUGUAAGCCCAUAUAGUGUAAGGAAGGCUCUUGAGAAUACAUCUGUCCCAAUAGGUGAAUUGCUAGCAGAUAAACUAACCACUGGACAAGGGCUCAUGCAAGUUGACAAGGCACAUGAAUAUAUACGGCAGUCCAAGAAUAUUCCAAGUGUUUUUUAUGAAAUAAAGGUCAAUCAAUCUGGAAAAUCAACUCCUACUUCACGGGGCAUCUAUUUGAGGGAGGCUAGUGCUUGCCAACUACCUACAGAGUGGACAGUGCAAGUUGAGCCUAAGUUUCAUGAAGGUGCAAGUAAUUUGGAAGAAUUGGUUCCCUUUGAGGAGUGCAUUGAGUUACAUUCUACUGAAAAGUCAGUUGUGAUGGCUCCAGAGUACCUCCUCCUUACUCAUAAUGGGCGUAGCUUCAAUGUAGUGAUCGAUCCUACCAAGUUAAGUGAUGGUUUACAUUAUUAUGAAGUCUAUGGAGUUGAUUGCAAAGCACCAUGGCGUGGUCCCAUUUUCAGGAUUCCAGUUACCAUAACAAAACCAAUGACUGUAAACAAUCGGCCUCCAAUUGUUUCAUUUGCAAGGAUGUCAUUUCUGCCAGGCCAUAUAGAAAGGAGAUUUGUUGAAGUGCCGCUCGGUGCUAGUUGGGUUGAGGCAACCAUGCGAACAUCACGAUUUGAUACAGCCCGACGAUUUUUUGUUGACACAGUUCAGAUUUGCCCCCUUCAAAGACCUAUCAAGUGGGAGAGCGUUGUAACAUUUUCUUCCCCCUGUGCCAAAAGCUUUGCAUUUCCUGUGGUGGGUGGUCAGACAAUGGAAUUAGCUGUUGCUCAGUUUUGGUCAAGUGGCAUAGGAAGUCAUGAAACCACUAUUGUAGACUUUGAGAUUGUGUUUCAUGGUAUUGAAGUCAAUAAAGAGGAUGUUGUGCUUGAUGGAAGUGAAGCGCCUGUUAGAAUUGAUGCUGAAGCUCUGCUGGCAUCUGAGAAACUUGCCCCUGCUGCUAGUCUAAAGAAGGUAAGGGUUGCAUAUCGACCUAUUGAUGCUAAACUUAGCACUCUCACAGCAGAUCGUGACAAACUGCCCUCUGGCAAACAGACACUGGCUCUGACAUUGACUUACAAGUUCAAAUUGGAGGAUGCAGCUGAAAUAAAGCCUCAUGUUCCAUUGCUUAAUAAUCGUGUAUAUGACACUAAAUUUGAGUCUCAAUUUUACAUGAUCUCUGACACUAACAAGCGUGUGUAUGCAAUGGGUGAUGUCUAUCCAAAUUCCUCAAAACUUCCCAAGGGUGAAUACAACUUACAGCUGUAUCUAAGGCAUGACAAUGUGCAAUAUUUGGAGAAAAUGAAACAGCUGGUAUUGUUUAUUGAGAGAAAUUUGGAUGACAAGGAUGUCAUUCGAUUAAAUUUUUUCUCUGAACCGGAUGGAUCUGUGAUGGGAAAUGGUGCUUUUAAAUCCUCAGUUUUAGUUCCAGGGAAGAAAGAAGCUAUUUACUUGGGCCCACCAGUGAAAGAAAAACUUCCAAAGAAUGUUCCACAAUGCUCUGUGCUUUUGGGAUCAAUCUCAUAUGGAAAAGCUGGUCACGAAGAAGGGAAAAAUCCACAGAAGAACCCUGUAUCUUAUCAAGUCUCUUAUAUAGUUCCUCCAAAUAAGGUUGUAACUUAUUGUUCCUUGGAUUUUGUUAUUUAAGUAAUUCUACUACAGUGCUUACAACAGAUGGUCUGCCAUUUUUCUUAUGUAUGAGCACCUGAACUGUGUACACCAUUUUCCAACCAUCGUUUUGACAGGUUGAUGAUGACAAGGGAAAAGGAACUUCUUCAACUUGCUCCAAAACUGUUUCUGAACGUUUAGAAGAAGAGGUUCGAGAUGCAAAGAUAAAAGUUUUUACUAGCCUAAAACAAGACACUGAUGAAGAACGCUCAGAGUGGAAAAAAUUGUCCAUCUCUCUUAAGGUUAAAGCUUAUUUAAUCUUGAAAUGUUAUUGUGUGAUUUGUGGCAUUGGCAGUAUUUGCAUGUCUUUGACAAGCCAAGAUUUUUCAUCUCACAUCAAGGUCAUGUCCUCUGGCAUAUAUAUUCCAUUUUAGAUCCAGUACGUGUUUGCCAGAAAUCUUAGGCUGCUUGUUUUCUUUUUGUAUUAAGGAUUUUCUCACUUCUCAGAACAAAGCCAAAAUGAAGAAUGUUAUGUUGGUACUUGUUCUCUUUGAUUGAACUGGUCAUUUAGAACAAUAUGAACCUCGAGCUACUCUGGCAAGCUUUUUGUUCUUGGAGCAUGUGCCUUUUAAGAAUCUUAGUUGUUUAAAUUAAUGCUUCUAGACAUAGUAUUGUUUCCAGAGAAUACCAACUAACAAGUAUCUUAUGUUCUUUGGCAGUCUGAAUACCCAAAUUAUACUCCCCUGCUUGCUAAGAUUUUGGAAGGUUUGCUUUCUGAGAGUAAUGUAGGGGACAAAAUUGGCCAUGAUGAAGAGGUAAAUAUGUGUUUAUGUAGUCCACUUUAUAGAAGAAAAUGAUAGGACAUUGCAUUUAUAUCUUCUGCUGGGUUUUCAUUUCAUAUUGAUGUUAUCAACACAUGACCAAUAAUCUCUAAGGUUAGUAAUGAGAUUUGCAUGUAUUUUUAAUGGGAUAGGGUAUAAAUUCAUCGAUGAGAUUGAGAACCUGUGUUUCGCCUUUGUAAGUUUGGCAGUAAUGGUUUCCUUAGGAAGGACCGAAUAAAUUGUGAGCUGCCUCUAGUUGUGGCCAUAAUCUACAACACAAAAGAAAAGAUAUGGUAACAGAUAAUAGUUAAAUGUUUUUUUGUUUGUUUUAUGGCUUGCAGUUAAAAACAUUCAUAUUUUAUACUUUCAAAGUGUAAUGGCUUUAUGGGUUUAUGCUAUAGCUGCAGAUUGAAAGGUUAAAAACUCUCAAGAGGUGAUGUUGGCAUUUCUUUUGAUGUAAUAUUAUGUCUUGUUAUUGAAGAGUAUAAUGGCCUACACUUCUUUUGAUGGAGUGUGAUUAAUUUCCAAGCCAGAGCUAAGCAAAUGUCCGAUAAUUGUGGUUAUCACUUAUCAGUGAAGGAUUAAUGUGUUUCAUUCACAACGUCAAAGUUGAUUUAAAAUUAAUAGUGCAAAUGGCAGAACUUCAUUUGCAUCAAGGUCCCCAUGUCUUUCUACCUAUCCUUAAUGGAAUGAUUUAACCUUUUUCCUCCUUUUGUUCCUUGUUUGAAAGACAUGGUGAACUUGCCAUAGAAUAGAGAUUAACUUACAUGUGCCAUCUUCUAGAUUAUUCGUGCAGCAAAUGAGGUAAUUGAUAGUAUUGACAGAGAUGAGUUGGCAAAAUUCUUUUCCCUCAAGAGUGAUCCUGAAGAUGAGGAGGCAGAGAAAAUAAAAAAGAAGAUGGAGACAACAAGGGAUCAAUUAAUAGAAGCACUGUACCAAAAAGGGCUAGCAAUUUCAGACAUUGAAUCUCUGGAGGGACUGAAAGCUGGAACCUUGGCAGUAACAGAAGGAACAAAAGACAUGGACAGGACUGACAAAGAAUCGGCACCAGAUGCUGGUGGCCAGCCAGAUCUGUUCGAGGAGAAUUUCAAAGAAUUUCAAAAAUGGGUUGACGUGAAGUCUUCUAAAUAUGGCACCCUCUUAGUGAUACGUGAAAGACGACGAGGGAGGCUUGGAACAGCUCUAAAGGUGUUGAAUGACAUGAUUCAAGAUGACGGGGAUCCUCCAAAGAAGAAGCUUUACGAACUGAAGAUCUCCUUGCUUGAUGAGAUUGGAUGGAGUCAUUUGGCAACCUACGAGAGACAGUGGAUGCACGUGCGUUUUCCACCAAGCUUGCCUCUUUUUUAAAUGAGUGCUUUUUAUUAAGGAAAACUGGACAUGCCAUACUGAAUAACUUGGUCUGACACCAGACCCAUUUCAAUAUUUCCAUCAUUGUAAGGACAUUUCCAUCAUAAUAAACAGAAUACUCUUUCUGUGACUCAUUUUUUCCCCUUCAACUUCCUGUUAAUAUUUUUCAUCAAUUGUUAUUUACUCGAUCCAACAGAUCGCGCUUUUUUUGUAGCUAUGGAUGACUAUAACUGACUACAAGAUAUUGAAUUGCGUUCUGUAGAAGCUAUAAUAUGUGAAUUAAUUGAUUUCCUUGGUAACAGAAAGUAGUAAUAUGCCUUUUAG